CACCGGUGGCGUAGGCNGGUCUCUGGGCCGUUACUGACGCUGAGGAGCGAAAGCGUGGGGAGCGAACAGGAUUAGAUACCCUGGUAGUNCACGCUGUAAACGUUGGGCACUAGGUGUGGGGGCCACCCGUGGUUCCCGCGCCGUAGCUAACGCUUUAAGUGCCCCGCCUGGGGAGUACGGCCGCAAGGCUAAAACUCAAAGGAAUUGACGGGGGCCCGCACAAGCGGCGGAGCAUGCGGAUUAAUUCGAUGCAACGCGAAGAACCUUACCGAGGCUUGACAUGCGCCCCGGGCGCGCGGAGACGCGCGCGCAUUUGGUUGGGGGUGUGCAGGUGGUGCAUGGUUGUCGUCAGCUCGUGUCGUGAGAUGUUGGGUUAAGUCCCGCAACGAGCGCAACCCUUGCCCUAUGUUGCCAGCGCGUUGUGGCGGGGACUCGUGGGGGACUGCCGGGGUUAACUCGGAGGAAGGUGGGGAUGACGUCAAAUCAUCAUGCCCCUUAUGUCUUGGGCUUCACGCAUGCUACAAUGGCCGGUACAGAGGGUUGCGAUGCCGUGAGGCGGGGCGAAUCCCUUAAAGCCGGUCUCAGUUCGGAUUGGGGUCUGCAACUCGACCCCAUGAAGGUGGAGUCGCUAGUAAUCGCAGAUCAGCAACGCUGCGGUGAAUACGUUCUCGGGCCUUGUACACACC
rnacentral:rRNA from 1 species